GACGAACGCUGGCGGCGUGCUUAACACAUGCAAGUCGAACGGAAAGGCCUCUUUCGGGGGGUACUCGAGUGGCGAACGGGUGAGUAACACGUGAGUAACCUGCCCUUGACUUUGGGAUAACUUCAGGAAACUGGGGCUAAUACCGGAUAGGAGCUCCUGCUGCAUGGUGGGGGUUGGAAAGUUUUGGCGGUUUGGGAUGGACUCGCGGCUUAUCAGCUUGUUGGUGGGGUAGUGGCUUACCAAGGCUUUGACGGGUAGCCGGCCUGAGAGGGUGACCGGCCACAUUGGGACUGAGAUACGGCCCAGACUCCUACGGGAGGCAGCAGUGGGGAAUAUUGCACAAUGGGUGGAAGCCUGAUGCAGCAACGCCGUGUGCGGGAUGACGGCCUUCGGGUUGGAAACCGCUUUCGCUCAUGACGAAGCUUUGUGUGACGGUAGUGGGUAAAGAAGCACCGGCUAACUACGUG
rnacentral:rRNA from 1 species